UGGCCUGGUCCAGUAGGUGCGUG
rnacentral:piRNA from 1 species